rnacentral:rRNA from 1 species
CUUGGCGACCAUAGCACUUUGGACCCACCUGAUUUCCAUUCCGAACUCAGAAGUGAAACGAAGUAGCGU